AAAGGAAUAGACGGGGACUCGCACAAGCAGUGGAGCAUGCGGUUUAAUUCGAUGCAACGCGAAGAACCUUACCAGGUCUUGACAUCCCAAUGACAGCUUUAGAGAUAAAGCCUUCCUUCGGGACAAUGGAGACAGGUGGUGCAUGGUUGUCGUCAGCUCGUGUCGUGAGAUGUUGGGUUAAGUCCCGCAACGAGCGCAACCCCUAUCAUUAGUUGCUAGCAUUAAGUUGAGCACUCUAAUGAGACCGCCGGUGACAAACCGGAUGAAGGUGGGGACGACGUCAAAUCAUCAUGCCCCUUAUGACCUGGGCUACACGCGUGCUACAAUGGCUAGUACAAAGAGUUGCGAUACCGCGAGGUGGAGCUAAUCUCACAAAACUAGUCUCAGUUCGGAUUGUAGUCUGCAACUCGACUACAUGAAGUUGGAAUUGCUAGUAAUCGCGAAUCAGAAUGUCGCGGUGAAUACGUUCUCGAGUCUUGUACACACCGCCCGU
rnacentral:rRNA from 1 species